ACGGGUAUAAUUUAAUGGUAGAAUCAUAGUUUUCCAAACUAUUUAUGUGAGUUCAAUUCUCACUACCCGUU
rnacentral:tRNA from 1 species